UAUUUUUAAAUUUACAGCAGGUUUAUUUGAAUGUGGCAUUGUGAGUUUGCAGUCUCCCUUUGUAGAAUUAAGAGAAAAUGUGGAGCCGUACUCUGACAGGGCACUUUGUUACCUGUGGGAGUUUGCAGUGUGAAUUAGUAUAUUGCAAAUCUUAAAGAUCUCUUUCUAAUAGGGGUAUAAACCCUGUGACAGUACAAACAUUAGGAGGAGAUGGUACUGAUUUACAGCUUUCUAGCUAAAGACAGGAAAGUUUUAGCUUUAUUUUGAGAUGAAAUAUGAAAUGUAAAGCUCACUUGAGACCAUAGCCUUUAAAAUACUUAGAAUCAGUCAGCUGAGGAAUUAACUUAUUCUCAAUAGGAGUUAACAUAAACUAUUUUAAAGCUCAGUGUUUACAUAGGUCACAAAAGUUGAAAACAGCUGGAGACAUACUUCAUGCACUAUUGCUAUCUACGUAAGUAAUGGAAUUUUGUAAGUGCAAUGUACAGUAAACAGCCUACUGAAGGAAAAAUACAAGAAACAUGAAUAGCAGUAAUUUGUUAGCUAGAGUAGGUUAACUCUUAUUGUGAUAAGGCUGACAGGCUUAUUAAUUAAUGACCAAGAUUCAGACCAGGUGCAUGAGAUUUCUUUUAGCUGCAGUUUGUACUGGGGUGUAACAAAUGCUGAUUAACAAAACAGUACUUACUCUAGAAGUUAACUGGGUGCCAGGUAUGCAUUUAAGGCCCUAUUCUUCAAGCUGCUCAGUGUUCCCUGUGAGGCAGUCAUCAACUAGGAGGAAUACUGGACCCCAUCUUGAAGGGAAAAAGAACAGAGAUUAA
rnacentral:lncRNA from 1 species